UGGUGGGUAGUUUGACUGGGGCGGUCUCCUCCUAAAGAGUAACGGAGGAGCACGAAGGUUGGCUAAUCCUGGUCGGACAUCAGGAGGUUAGUGCAAUGGCAUAAGCCAGCUUGACUGCGAGCGUGACGGCGCGAGCAGGUGCGAAAGCAGGUCAUAGUGAUCCGGUGGUUCUGAAUGGAAGGGCCAUCGCUCAACGGAUAAAAGGUACUCCGGGGAUAACAGGCUGAUACCGCCCAAGAGUUCAUAUCGACGGCGGUGUUUGGCACCUCGAUGUCGGCUCAUCACAUCCUGGGGCUGAAGUAGGUCCCAAGGGUAUGGCUGUUCGCCAUUUAAAGUGGUACGCGAGCUGGGUUUAGAACGUCGUGAGACAGUUCGGUCCCUAUCUGCCGUGGGCGCUGGAGAAUUGAGGGGGG
rnacentral:rRNA from 1 species